ACAGCAGUAGCCACGGUAAUACGGAGGGAGCUAGCGUUAUUCGGAAUUACUGGGCGUAAAGCGCACGUAGGCGGCUUUGUAAGUUAGAGGUGAAAGCCUGGAGCUCAACUCCAGAAUUGCCUUUAAGACUGCAUCGCUUGAAUCCAGGAGAGGUGAGUGGAAUUCCGAGUGUAGAGGUGAAAUUCGUAGAUAUUCGGAAGAACACCAGUGGCGAAGGCGGCUCACUGGACUGGUAUUGACGCUGAGGUGCGAAAGCGUGGGGAGCAAACAGGAUUAGAUACCCCUGUAGUCCCUGUCUCUUAUAC
rnacentral:rRNA from 1 species